UACGUAGGGGGCAAGCGUUGUCCGGAAUUAUUGGGCGUAAAGCGGGUGUAGGCGGCCAGAAAAGUCCGCUGUGAAAACUCGAGGCUCAACUUCGAGCUGUCGGUGGAAACUUUCUGGCUAGAGUCCGGAAGAGGAGAAUGGAAUUCCUGGUGUAGCGGUGAAAUGCGCAGAUAUCAGGAAGAACACCCGUGGCGAAGGCGGUUCUCUGGGACGGUACUGACGCUGAGACGCGAAAGCGUGGGGAGCGAACAGG
rnacentral:rRNA from 1 species